AACCUCUAAAGUGAGAAGAAUAAAAACCUCGAUAAGCUUUAGAAGAGCGUUUUCACGAAGAUUAGGGUUGUAGAGAACAAACACAAGCUGUCCAGCAGACUACAUUUUCUGAUCCUUAUUGGGCGGUGCUCUGAGGCCGAAAGACGAUGAUGACAUGCCACCUCCUCCUCCGAAGCUGAUGACACUAACAGAGAAAGAUUGAGGUAAGUUUGCCAUUGUAAAGCCUCAAUUGGAUGUUUUUAUUUUUUUCAACCUUUCGUUUAUCCUACUUUAUUUUCUCUAAUUUUUCUUUUGAUUCUG
rnacentral:misc_RNA from 1 species